GGCCCGCAUGAAGACCUUUUACUUCUUCUCAAGUCAUUGUAUGCAGCACGCUGGCAUCACGCAGUGCCUUUGAAAAGGUGCUCUCUGCUGCAGCUGCUUGUCCUUGCUUUUGUGUUUCUUUAGCCUGAAAUCGUGAUUCUUGCCACCCCAUUCACAGGCUUGUAAGAUGUUUCCUUUUAAAUAACAGGCAUACCCUUGAGACAGGCACUGACAGAUGCUUGCUGCUUCCAAGCUCCCUUUUGUGAGCUGCCUUAGAGAACUCAACAACUAAACUGUGACCGGGGCAGCAAGCAACGUGCUUGUGACACAGAGCCAUGACCUCACUGACAAAACGUCCCUCGGGCUUUUCACGAGCCAAUAAAGCUCUAGCUUUUGUUCCCUGGCAUGGGCCUUGUAGUAUGGCACCUCUAAUCUCGCUAAGCUGCCACUGCAAAGAUAAGAGGGAAGGGAGCAAGAAAGGUCCUUUUGAGGGUUAAGCAAUGGGCUCAGGAAUGAGGUGUGUGCCAACCACUGACUGUGAGCAAGGAGAGAUUGAUGGGCCCCACAGGGUCACUCUGGGCAGUCCCACCACCACCCAUCACAGCUCCUGGCUGAAGGGGAUUUCCCAGUAAGCCUCAAGCAGUCAGUGCAAACAGCUCGUGAAGAGCAGGAAGGAACACAGGACUGUGCAUUUAAAUAAACAGCAGCUCAGCGUC